AGCAGCAGCCGCGGGAAAACGGAGGGUGCAAGCGUUAAUCGGAAUUACUGGGCGUAAAGCGCACGCAGGCGGUUUGUUAAGUCAGAUGUGAAAUCCCCGAGCUUAACUUGGGAACCGCAUUUGAAACUGGCAAGCUAGAGUCUUGUAGAGGGGGGUAGAACUCCAGGUGUAGCGGUGAAAUGCGUAGAGAUCUGGAGGAAUACCGGUGGCGAAGGCGGCCCCCUGGACAAAGACUGACGCUCAGGUGCGAAAGCGUGGGGAGCAAACAGGAUUAGAUACCCGCGUAGUCCCUGUCUCUUAUAC
rnacentral:rRNA from 1 species